CCCUUAGAUGUUCUGGGCGGCCCGCGCACUACAAUGGCGUGUGCAGCGAGUGCCGAAGUAGAGUUUUCCGAGGUAUUCUUGCAAUGCUCGUUUUGAGGGGGAUAGACCCUUGCAACUGUUGGUUUUGAACGAGGAAUUCCUUGUAAGCAUGGUUUAUCAUCCGACGCUGAAUGCGUCCCUGCCCUUUGUACACACCGCCCGUCGCUCCUACCGAUGAGUCGUCCGGUGAAGUUCGUAGACCUCGUGAUCGCGGAUCACUGGGGGAAGCAAAAUGAACCUCGCGGUUUAGAGGAAGGAGAAGUCGUAACA
rnacentral:rRNA from 1 species